rnacentral:lncRNA from 1 species
GUAAGCAUUCCCCUACAUUCUGGUUUGCCAUGCCAAUGGGUAUUUGUGUGUGUGUGUGUGUGUGUGUGUGUGUGUGUGUGUGUGUGUGUGUGUUUGUGUUGGAAUGAAUUCCAAUGGAACCUACCUUCCUCUGACAGUUCAAUUCUGGGCAUAAGCCAAAGAAGCAAAUGUUGUUUAUCAUUCCUAUUGUAUCAUGCAGGAUAUGAAAAUCUAAAUAACCCAGAAUUAAUUGCUCCUAAAUUUUGUUACCUCAAACUCUGCUCCCCUAGGUAUCUGUAUUUACCAUGCCGCAGCAUACUACCUCACACACCUCUCUUGUUACUGCACUAUGAAGUCCUGGGAGUUAUGGAGCCAAAUAUAUGUGAAGAAACUAGGAAACCACAAAGAGCAGUGAUGUUUGCAGGGCUGAAGCACACUGAGGAUUCUUCCCAUCCAGGGACCAAAGUGUCUGAUACGAUGGAUGGACUGGUUUCCUGGAUUGCCAAAGGAUCCUUUGGAGAUGCGAGGACUCCCUGUGCCUUGGAUCUACCUCUCCCUGAACAUCAUACAGUCAUUGACUCUGAAAUCUUGCUCCCUUACCAUAGAGCUGCCACCAAAUAGUUUGGGAGCCUUCCCUGUAGUGGGAUGCCCUCAGCAGCACUUGCCUCAUCUUAUUACAGCAAAGAGCCACUUGGUCCCUGUUUCGCUCAAAAGAACUAUCUCCUUGAGAAGUAUCAAUCUCUUCAUUGAACAUAGGCUUUUACAACAGUAGGAAUGUGUAUUGACUAUGAAGUGUUUCCUCUUCCAUCUUGAAAAAAAAAGAGCAAGAUAAGAAUAAUUUAAAUGUUUAUUUUUAUUUUUGAGAGAGAAGGGAGAGGAAGAGUGCAAGUGGGGGAGAGGGGCAGAGAGAGAAUCUUAAGCAUGUUCCAUACUCAAUACAGAGCCUGACACUGGGUUGGAUCCUACGACCCUGGGAUCAUGACCUGAGCCGAAAUCAAGAGUCAGAUGCUUAACCAACUGAGCCACCCAGGCACCCCAAGAAUAAUUUGAAAAUAGGAACCUGCUUUCCCGGGCACCUGGGUGGCUCAGUUAAGCAUCUGACUCUUGAUUUCCUCUCAGGUCAUAAUUGGAUGGUCAUGAGAGCGAGGCCUGCUUUGGCUCUAUACUGGGCUUGGAAGCUACUUAAGAUUCUCUCUCUCUUCCUCAGCCAUUCCCUGCACGCACAUGUCUCUCUCUCUCAAGAAAAAAAUAAAUAAAUAAAACUUUAUUUAUUUUUAUAAAUA